GAUAUUAGACGAGUGGCUGUACGUUGUGCUGUUGCCAUGGGCGAGGAGGGUGAUAUGGUGGUUACAAGUUCCUGAAUCUCCAUUUUUUUUCUUUUAUAAUUUAUGCAUAAAUAUCACAAAGUGGGAAGGAAAAAAGUCUCUUCAAUCUAAAGGCACAUUCGACAUAGUCCAAGAAAUGAGUAAGCGCUUUCAGGUGAUUUGCUUGAUCAAACUUUAAGAACUUAUUCACAGAUCCUCUUCAAUUUCUUAAGACACCGUGAGAACAUGUAGUGGUUUUGGUCACAUUAUGCAUGCUAUUUGUUGAAGCCAAUGACUGGCGCUCCUUGCUUGAAAAGAGCACGGUUGGACCGUUGGUUGAUCGAUGUGGUGCUGACAAAGGAUUUGUUUAGCUGAUUGCUGUAGCUUUAGCCAUGUAAUGUUGGUUGCUGAGUUCUGAUGUGAGUAGCUAAUGCUUAAUAAUAGCAGAGGUGGUUGAUGCCCGAUUGAUCUUU